GCCGGAGGAUGCAAGCGUUAUCCGGAAUGAUUGGGCGUAAAGCGUGCGCAGGCGGUUAUGUAAGACAGAGGUGAAAUCCCCGGGCUCAACCUGGGAACUGCCUUUGUGACUGCAUGACUAGAGUACGGCAGAGGGGGAUGGAAUUCCGCGUGUAGCAGUGAAAUGCGUAGAUAUGCGGAGGAACACCGAUGGCGAAGGCAAUCCCCUGGGCCUGUACUGACGCUCAUGCACGAAAGCGUGGGGAGCAAACAGG
rnacentral:rRNA from 1 species